rnacentral:rRNA from 1 species
GAUAAACGCUGGCGGCGUGCUUAACACAUGCAAGUCGAACGAAGUUUUUCUUUCGGGGUGAACUUAGUGGCGGACGGGUGAGUAACUCGUGCGUAACCUGCCCUCUCCAGGGUGUCAACAGCUUGCAACGGCCUCUAAUACCGCCUAAGCCCUUAGCCCUGCAUGGUGCAUAGGGAAAAGGAGCAAUCCGGUACAGGAUGGACCCGCGUCUGAUUAGCCAGUGGGCAGGGUAACGGCCUUCCAAAGCGACGAUCAGUAACCGAUCUGGGAGGAGGUACGGCCAGAUUGGGAAUGAGGCACAGACCAGAAUGCUACGGGAGGGAGGAGAGGGGAAUAUUGCAGAAUGGAGGAAACUGUGACGAAGCGACGCCGGGUGAGAGAAGAAGUAGUUCGGUAUGUAAAGCUGUAUGAGAAGGAAAGAAAAUGACGGUAACGGAUUAAGAAGCACCGGCUAAAUACGUG